UGUGAAAGCCCUGGGCUCAACCUAGGAACUGCAUCCAAAACUAACUCACUAGAGUACGAUAGAGGGAGGUAGAAUUCAUAGUGUAGCGGUGGAAUGCGUAGAUAUUAUGAAGAAUACCAGUGGCGAAGGCGGCCUGCUGGAUCUGUACUGA
rnacentral:rRNA from 1 species